AGCGCUUGUACUCUUGGGGAUAAUGUCUGAGGAACUGCUACUACCUGUGCGGCCGGGGUCUGGACUCGGAGACUGUCCUCCAAGCUUUGGGUCGUUCGCUAGGAAAAAGACUCCCUCUCCGCCGCGCUCUGGGGAUAUGUGCCUAUCUGCGGAUUCGAGGAGAUCGAGUUUCACUGGACCCGGGAGUUGGGGCCACGGCUCGGGGAGCUGAGGCCGGAGGUGUCUCCUCCGCUCCAUCCCUGCUCGGGAAUCUUUGACGCAUCGCGCUCGAGACGCCGUUGCCUGGGUUCCUGCUCGCCCAGCUUUGUGGAAGGAUAGCUGGACGUCGCGAGGCUUUAGCCUGAGCCAUCGGUCAGGCUGGGUCAGACGUGCACACUCUUGGUGUAGCCGCCGCGCCAGGGCGGAACUCCCACCGCGGCCUCGCCGGGUAGACGUGCCAGGUCUCGGGUGCCUGGCCCUGCUGCGCCUUGGCGCCCAGAGCCCUCUGCGGGGAACAGGGACUCCAGACUCACCUGGAAACACUGGUUUCGAGGAACCUCUCCACCUUUGACUCCCCAGGGACUCCUGGGACGUGCAGCCGUGUAAAAGAGCUGCUCUCUCUCCUGCCCGGGAGUCUGGCAUCUCCCCAUCACACACGCACAUCUGGAGAGGGAAAGGAAGGGCCCAGCUACAGCCCAUUACGAAGCCACCAGCAGUCCAGACCGUUCCAGCCAAUUUCCGUUGCUCGUUCCUCCUGUGUGCACGCGCACGUGCUCGCGUGUGCACACAUUCUGAAUUCAAGAUGGAGAAACUGGGCCUACAAAAGCUGGGAGGGAUUUUUUUUCCCUAGUGACCCCCAAACUCCGUACAGCUGUGUCCUGCGCCUUCAGGAGCUGGUUGCAGCCUCACACUCCUUAUCCUUAGGUCUGAGAAUGUACAAUGCGAAGAAAUACCUCAGGGCAGUUUGUUGGCUGUUGGAAGCAUUUGUACAGCUUCUUUCAGUCCACAGCACGCUUUUCUGGCACCUGCUCUGCCCUAGUCCUGGGCCCAAGCCCCGGGGACACUGAUGAUUCAGGCUUACCUCCUGAACCCCUGGCCCGGGGGUGCUCACACUGGUUGUGCCCUCUGCCUUGCCAGGCUGUGUGCUUUUCUGCAGGGAGCACAGUCUGGGCCAUGAGCAGCUGUGGUUGCUGCUAAACAAGGUUAUGGCCUGGACACACACCCAAGACCUUCCAUCCUUUGUUCAGGCCCUCCCUACCCCGAGGCGGGCCUCCCCUGUGGACACUCAGUACACUGGUACUCUAAUCCUGCAGUGGCUCCUUAGGUCUUGGCUGGAGGAGUAGUCAAGUGCUUUGACAGCCAUUCUGGUGUGGAUCCAUUCAGAGCUGCCCCUUUCAUCAAGGAUGCCCCAGCUUCCUGCAAAUUGCCAGCCUUGCCAUUUCUGCUCCUGCACCACCUCCUCCAUGUGCCCCAGCCCCUGCACUCACUGUCAGCCAGGUUGCCUGACCCAAUCACACAUCUAUGUCUCUUAUCUGCAAAGGGGGUGGCAAAUGGGGUGCUGCCAGAGGAAGGGCUGUCUGUGGCCAUGUCAGCACAGAGCCAGAUGCAGAUGAACUGUGGAAAAGUGUUUGUUGAAUGAGUGGUAUUUUAUCUUUCUCUAAAAGCUGAAGCCAAAAAAUACAUCACAACAGCUCAAAGCCUUGUGUGAGUCAGAGGUUUAAGGCUUGUUUGCCUUCUCCAUGGGCACAAAAUGCCUAUCAGGCAAGAAACUUCUUGGGGAGAUGGCAGAAUUCUCUGGCCCUUCUGCCAGAGGUGGAGCCCUUGGAGAUGUCCUCACUAGAGAGAGGAGCGACAGAGCAGGAGGGCCCCAGCAGGAGCCUCAAGCUGAGAUCAAAGGUGAUAUUUUUACAGCAACUGAAAUAGAAAACCACUGGACACAGUGGGAGGUGAGUGGCCGGGACACAGGCCCCUCUAUGAUGCCUGUGGCUUCAGCAAGCAUUCUGCCCUCUGCCUUGGGUGUGGGGGACUGUGUGGUGAUCUUCCCAACCAAGGUUCAAGGAGGAAACAGACAUGAGCAACAGCCCUCAGUGCUGGGAGAGGAGAGGGACAUCAGUGAAGGAUCAUAGUGAGCACUCGGUGCCUGACAUCCUCACCCCAGACCACUCUGUAACUGUGCAGUAGUGUCUGAGUUGUUCCAGGGCUUCUUGGUACACCGUUUCAUCUGUACAGAGGCCUCUGAGGAGGAUUAUUGUCACCCCUGUUUUACUGAGAGUGCUUGAAACUAAGUCCUGUAGGGAAUUGGGGGCCAAUUCAGAACUAGAAGCCUGGGGCUGCUGGUCCAAGAUUCUUUCUGCUCUUUUUUUUUUUUUUUGGUACCAGGGAUCGAACGCGGGUCCUUGCGCUUGCACAGCAGGCAGCAAAACCACUGAGCUACAUCCCCAGCCCUUCUUUCUGCUCUUUAUAAUCCUGCCCACCUACUCAUGCUCCAAAUCACUGUUCCCAUUAGCACUGGUCCUGGCUGCCCCUUCCAUAAUAGCACCCACAGUCAUGUCCACGAAAGCAGUGGGACUCAAAGCAUGGCCCCCAGAUCAGCAGCAUCAGCAUUAUCCAGGAACAUGCUAGAAAUGCAGAUUGUCAGGUCCCAACCCAGAUUUACCUAACCAGAAACGAAGUUGGGCCCAGCCCUCAAGACUUCAACAUACUCUCCAGGUGAUUCAGUUGCACUAACGGUGAGGAUCACUGCACUGUGUUACCUCAGUUUCCACAUCUGUACUCUACAGAAAAAAACACCUGUCUCACAAGGUUGAGCCCAGUGUUGUCUAACACACAUGCUAGGUGUGUGCCCUGUGCCAAGCAUCCUUCCAGCCCUUUGCAGGCAUUAACUCACGUAAUUUCACAACCCUGUGAGAUAGGAGCUAAGUCUCCUCAUCUCACAGAUGAGGAAAUGGAAGCACAGAGAGGGAAAGGGACUUGGCCAGGGUCGCACAGCUAGGAAAUAGCUGGGUUCUAGAAUCCCAGCUCUUUACAGCUAACCAAUAGAAAGUCCCUGACAAUGGGUCUGGCUCCCAAAUGUUCUGGGCAUGACUAAAAAUGUUAUGAUGGCAAUUAGUAUUACCUCACCUGAACUCAAGAUGAUGACCCCCAUUCUGUAAAUGUGAAAUCUGCUGCCUUGUCAAGAUCGAGGCGUGAGUCAGCUUCAACCACAGCCACAGUGUCUGAAACCCCAGUACAGCACAGGCCUCUCCCUUCCCUGAUCCAGGAGACCACAGUGUACCAUUCUGGGCUGCUGGAACAACCCAGCUGGUUGCAGGGUAGAAUGUGGGCUCUGGCAGAGAGGGAGCUGGAGCCCCAGUUUGGCCACUCAAGUUCUGCGUGACCUCUCUGAACCUCACAUUCCUUCUCUGUAAAUUGAUCGAUGACAGUCCUAACUCUGAAGGUUCCUGUGAGGUUGGAGACAAUGACAUUUGUCCCAACCCAGAGCAUGCACAGAGCUGGCUAUCAUCAAGCAACUUGCCCCUCUCUUCCCCCUGUGGCUGCUAGCUCAGUGGAAACAGCAGCUCCGAAUCCAGAAAGGUUUUGAAAGGAGAAGAAAUAAGUUCCCAAGAACCCAAGUGCUUUUAUCCUCCAGCUUCCCUAACCUGUUCCACAUCUCUCCUGCCCAAGGUGUUGGGGUUAAAUACUGACACCAGCUGCACCCAAGUCAGGAGUCCAGUUACCUGCAAAAGGGAGAGGCGUCUUACUCCCCCAGCCUCAUUGGCUAGGCAGGCAA